UACGUAGGGUGCGAGCGUUGUCCGGAAUUACUGGGCGUAAAGCGCAUGUAGGCGGGCGACUAAGUCAGGGGUGAAAACCGUGGGCUCAACCUACGGCUUGCCCUUGAUACUGGUCGUCUUGAGUACAGGAGAGGGAAGCGGAAUUCCCGGUGUAGCGGUGAAAUCCGUAGAUAUAUGGAGGAACACCGGUGGCGAAAGCGGCUCUCUGGACUGUAACUGACACUGAGGCUCGAAAGCGUGGGUAGCAAACAGG
rnacentral:rRNA from 1 species